UUGGCUUCAUCAGCACAUAUGCCAAAAAUUGGAAUGAUACAGAGAUUAGCAUGGCCCCUGAGCAAGGAUGACUGGGAAAUUCAUGAAGCGUUUCAUAUGUGU
ensembl:snRNA U6 U6 spliceosomal RNA